GUCGUGCUUGUGACAACACCUUACACACACACACACACACACACACACACACACACACAUGUAAGAGUUAUCAC